AUUGAACGCUGGCGGCAUGCCUUACACAUGCAAGUCGAACGGCAGCACGGGUGCUUGCCCCUGGUGGCGAGUGGCGAACGGGUGAGUAAUACAUCGGAACAUGUCCUGUAGUGGGGGAUAGCCCGGCGAAAGCCGGAUUAAUACCGCAUACGAUCUACGGAUGACAGCGGGGGACCUGCGGGCCUCGCGCUAUAGGGUUGGCCGAUGGCUGAUUAGCUAGUUGGUGGGGUAAAGGCCUACCAAGGCGACGAUCAGUAGCUGGUCUGAGAGGACGACCAGCCACACUGGGACUGAGACACGGCCCAGACUCCUACGGGAGGCAGCAGUGGGGAAUUUUGGACAAUGGGCGAAAGCCUGAUCCAGCAAUGCCGCGUGUGUGAAGAAGGCCUUCGGGUUGUAAAGCACUUUUGUCCGGAAAGAAAUCCUUGGCCCUAAUACGGUCGGGGGAUGACGGUACCGGAAGAAUAAGCACCGGCUAACUACGUG
rnacentral:rRNA from 1 species